rnacentral:rRNA from 1 species
UACAGAGGGGGCAAGCGUUAUUCGGAAUUAUUGGGCGUAAAGGGCGCGUAGGCGGCUUUGCAAGUGACGGGUGAAAGCCCUCGGCUUAACCGAGGAACUGCCUGUCAGACUGUAAGGCUUGAGACCGGGAGAGGUGAGUGGAAUUCCCAGUGUAGCGGUGAAAUGCGUAGAUAUUGGGAGGAACACCAGUGGCGAAGGCGGCUCACUGGACCGGAACUGACGCUGAGGCACGAAAGCGUGGGGAGCAAACAGG